UUUUUUUUUUUUUUUUUUUUUNNNNNNNNNNNNNNNNUUGGGCCACUCCUGCGGCAUAUGGAGAUUCCCAGGCUAGGAGUCUAAUUGGAGCUGUAGCCGCCGGCCUACGCUACGCCAGAAGCAAUGUGGGAACUCCUAGAUUGCACUUUUAUACCAGUAAUGUUCAAUCAAAACUAGAAAAGUCUAUGUUCCACAAAUUGAUAUAUGAAUUAAAAAAAAUUUUUUUUUCGAAUUCCCAUCAUGGCGCAGCGGAAAUAAAUCUGACUAGGAACCAUGAGGUUGUGGGUUCAAUUCCUGGCCUCACUAAUGGGUUAAGGAUCUGGCAUUGCUGUAAGCUGUGGUGUAGGUUGCAGAUGAGGCUCGGAUACCACAUUGCUGUGGCUCAGGCAUAGGCCGGAGGCUACAGCUCCGAUUGGACCCCUAGCCUGGGAAUCUCCAUAUGCCGCGGAAGCAGCCCAAGAAAUAGCAAAAAAAACACACACACAAAAAAAAUAAAUAAAUAAAAAAAUAAAUUUGUAUAGAAAUUAAGAAGACCUAGGGAGUUCCCAUUGUGGCUCAGUGGGUUAAGAACCAGACUAGUAUUCAUAAGGAUGCAGGUUUGAUCCCUGGCCUUGCUCAGUAGUUUAAGCAUCCGUUGUUACCAAGAGCUGUGGCAGAAGCUGAAGAUGAUGCGACUUGGAUCCCGCGUUGCUGUGGCUGUGGCGUAGGCCCUGCCUCUCCAUUCAAUCCCUAGCUCCAAGACCUUCCAUAUGCUGCAGGGGUGGCUGAUAAAAAAAAAAAGAAAGAAAGAAAGAAAAAAAUUCAGAAGACCUAGACUAUCUAAGAAAUCUUGAAAAUAAGAGCUAACACAUUUCAGUGCUAGAAGGAAAUAUCACUAUUUUCUUUUGGGCUGUAAAUGUCUUGAAUUCUCUUAAAGGUUAAGGAAAACUAGCUUUUAUAUAUUGGACUUAUAUAAAACUUAAAUAUACACACAUUACACAGUGCCUCACCCAAACCCUCUAAGUCAUAUUUUUCUUUUCAUGUGUUGGCUGACUAAUGAUUAAUUUUAAUACCUUAUACUGGUAUCCGGGUAUCUGGAGGGGCCUGCCCACAGGCCGCAGGGUGAAGGUUGUAUUUGUCUCCCUGUCCUCUUCCUACCCUCGACAAAGUCCCCCCUCCCUUACUUAGGGCAGCCUUAAACUUUUUCCUUUACAGUAAUUUCUUAUCAUUCUUCUUACCUUUUCAUUUAUGCCAUGUGUGUUAUUCAUACAAACUCUAUGGGUGCAGUAUAUUUGAGUGUGCAGUUAGGAAUACUGUACAUUUAUGUGUAACAAAACUCAAAAACCAUGGCCUUAAACUAGUAGGAAGUCUAGAGUUAGAGGAGUUUUUAUAAAGGCUGAGCUCUUCAAUUUUUUGAGUAUUUUUGCGUUCUCCUAACACAGCAUCUUAGUAAGGAUGUCUCCUUAUCUCGGGAAACAUGCAGAGCCAGUGCCCAGAUGUCCUUGACAGUUUUCUCUGCCUCCAGCUUUUCUCUGCAUGUGGAAGUUCCUAGUCCAGGGAUCAAACCAUCGCCAUAGAAUCGACUUGAGCCACAGUAGUGACAACGCCAGAUCCUUAACACAUGAUGCUACCAGUGAACUCCUGCUUCCAACUUUUGGAUAUUCUCAAAAUCCAUUUCCCCACAACUCUGAUUUAACACCCUCUUACCUAGGAGGCUUUCAUAUGAGUGCGUUCUGAGAUAUCGGAGUGCAAAUCUAUUUCUCCACUUGAGCCCUAUAAAUAAGACUUCCAGUUCCUUCCCAUUCUAGUCAAGAUCUGGAAUCUUAUUCUGUUUCUUUUAAUACCAUCUUCCAGUUGUCACCAGGCUCUUUUGAUUAAUUAGUAUUUAUUUGGAAAUUAUUUCUGUUUAUUCGCCUGUGUUUCACUGGAACCACCCUAUCCCAGCAGUAAGACAUGUCAGUAUCAGCUGCUGAUUGUGAUUUCCCAUUGCAGUUUCAUUUCAGGUAUUCUUUAUGAUUUUCACCUUUUAAAUGUUUCACCUAGCAGAUACUUUCUAUUUAGAACUAGCAUUGUGUAUUAUUUAAGGACCUUUGACAGGGUGUAUAUAUCUGGGGGUCAGGACAGCUUAGUUUUUUCAGUCUAAUGUCCUUGGAAUACAGCAGUAAGUUUUGGAUUCUGGUUCCCAAUCUCCUCAAAACGCUCCCCAAAAACGCUCACCUUAGUUGGACCGAACUUCUUACCUAAUUCCUCAAAUAAUCAGUUGUAAUAGCAGAUAAACCUCUGUAAUGUGAUCCCCUGGAAAAGAUACAGUGAAGUUCUUUACCAUUAUUUCCUAAGGGAGAAUGGCUUUUUGUAUAAUUAAUUAAUUUUAGGCUAUGUUCUUUUAAAAGGCUAUUUCCCUGUUGUGAAUUGAAUUGUAUUCCUCUAAAAUGCAUAUGUUGAAGUCUACACCAGCGAGAACAUGACCUUAUUUGGAGAUAACAGUCUUUAUGGAGGUGAUCAAGUUAAAUGAGGUCAUCAGGGUGGGUCUUGAUCCAAUGUGACUGAGUCCUUAUCAAAAAGGGAGAGAUAGGCACAUAGGGAAAAAGUCUGGUGAGCCUGAAGAUGGCCUUCCACAAGCCAGGGGGAGGGGCCAGGAGCCUUCCCUUCACAGCCCUCAGAAGGAACCAGCUCUGACACCUUGAUCUCAGACUUCUCACUCAAGAACUGUGAGACAGCAAAUUCUGUGCUUUAAGCCUCUCAGUGUGUGCUCAGGAUCAGUGUGUGCUCAGGAUCAGUAGGAAACUAAUCCCUUAUGAAGAUUCUUUAAUUGACCUUAACAAGAAUUCUUUUCAGAUUCUAACUGAGGGUCAAUUCUUGAUUUUUGUGAGAAUGUGAGGUUUGUUUCAGUUUCUGGAGAAGCUGAGUUAGAGGUGGUUUGUUUUCUUUCGUUUUCUACUACCUUUAUCAGGUUAUGGAUGAUUAUUUUCACUUGUUUUAAGGGCUAUGAAAUGCAUUAUUCUCCCAGGUUUCCUUGAGCUCCUUGUCACUUGAAUGAGAGAGGAGUGCUCUUUCCUGUUUCAUCAGAACUGGGCCAUCUCCCUGAGCUCACAUAUUCCUUCGUGCUGAAUCUAUAUAUUUGCAUUUCCUUCGCGCUAGGCAGGAUGCAUUGAAUUCCAGUCCUCAAAUACAGAGAAAUGGUGUUCUUUUCAGAUCUCACCAUAUUGUGUUCAAUGCUGUGAGCUUAUUUAAUUGAGAGAAAUCUUUGGUGAUAUAACCUAAAACUGAAUGUUGUCACCAUGGAAAAAUGAACUCCUUCUAGAUUCUCUUUUUGAGAAAGUCACUGUUGCAUGUGUUAUUCAGCCAGUAACAUGCGGUCUCAGAUUUGUUAAAAUUGGCUCAGUGCUUUGUUCAAUUUUCUGAUAUUAAAUAGGAAUAUGGAAAUAUUUGUUAGUGUCAUGGUAGUCUGUGAAUUGUUAAACAUGAUAAAUAUUGGGUAUUAUAAAUAGGAAGAGAAUUUGAAUUUUUUUCCCUUACAUGUAUACCUUUUACUUGCAGCAAAGAAAAAAAAAAAAA
ensembl:lncRNA